AUGAACGCUAGCUACAGGCUUAACACAUGCAAGUCGAGGGGCAGCAUGGUCUUAGCUUGCUAAGGCCGAUGGCGACCGGCGCACGGGUGAGUAACGCGUAUCCAACCUGCCUUACACUCUUGGACAGCCUUCUGAAAGGGAGAUUAAUACAAGAUGUUAUCAUGAGUAAGCAUUUUCGCAUGAUUAAAGGUUUACCGGUGUAAGAUGGGGAUGCGUUCCAUUAGAUAGUAGGCGGGGUAACGGCCCACCUAGUCUUCGAUGGAUAGGGGUUCUGAGAGGAAGGUCCCCCACAUUGGAACUGAGACACGGUCCAAACUCCUACGGGAGGCAGCAGUGAGGAAUAUUGGUCAAUGGACGAGAGUCUGAACCAGCCAAGUAGCGUGAAGGAUGAAGGUUCUAUGGAUUGUAAACUUCUUUUAUACGGGAAUAAACGAAUCCACGCGUGGAUUUUUGCAUGUACCGUAUGAAUAAGGAUCGGCUAACUCCGUGCCAGCAGCCGCGGUAAUACGGAGGAUCCGAGCGUUAUCCGGAUUUAUUGGGUUUAAAGGGAGCGUAGAUGGGUUGUUAAGUCAGUUGUGAAAGUUUGCGGCUCAACCGUAAAAUUGCAAUUGAUACUGGCAGUCUUGAGUACAGUUGAGGUAGGCGGAAUUCGUGGUGUAGCGGUGAAAUGCUUAGAUAUCACGAAGAACUCCGAUUGCGAAGGCAGCUUACUAACCUGUAACUGACAUUGAUGCUCGAAAGUGUGGGUAUCAAACAGGAUUAGAUACCCUGGUAGUCCACACGGUAAACGAUGAAUACUCGCUGUAGGCGAUAUACGGUCUGCGGCCGAGCGAAAGCAUUAAGUAUUCCACCUGGGGAGUACGCCGGCAACGGUGAAACUCAAAGGAAUUGACGGGGGCCCGCACAAGCGGAGGAACAUGUGGUUUAAUUCGAUGAUACGCGAGGAACCUUACCCGGGCUUAAAUUGCAACCGAAUAUGGCGGAAACGCUAUAGCUAGCAAUAGCGGUUGUGAAGGUGCUGCAUGGUUGUCGUCAGCUCGUGCCGUGAGGUGUCGGCUUAAGUGCCAUAACGAGCGCAACCCUUGCCGAUAGUUACUAACAGGUUAUGCUGAGGACUCUGUCGGGACUGCCAUCGUAAGAUGUGAGGAAGGUGGGGAUGACGUCAAAUCAGCACGGCCCUUACGUCCGGGGCUACACACGUGUUACAAUGGGGGGUACAGAGGGCUGCUACCACGCAAGUGGAUGCCAAUCCCAAAAACCUCUCUCAGUUCGGAUUGAAGUCUGCAACCCGACUUCAUGAAGCUGGAUUCGCUAGUAAUCGCGCAUCAGCCACGGCGCGGUGAAUACGUUCCCGGGCCUUGUACACACCGCCCGUCAAGCCAUGGGAGCCGGGGGUACCUGAAGUGCGUAACCGCAAGGAGCGCCCUAGGGUAAAACUGGUGACUGGGGCU
rnacentral:rRNA from 1 species